rnacentral:rRNA from 1 species
CAUGUAGGCGGCUCGUCAAGUCUGAUGUGAAAGCCCUGGGCUCAACCCAGGAAGUGCAUUGGAAACUGGCGAACUUGAGUACGGGAGAGGAAAGUGGAAUUUCGAGUGUAGGGGUGAAAUCCGUAGAUAUUCGAAGGAACACCAGUGGCGAAGGCGGCUUUCUGGACCGAUACUGAUGCUGAGAUGCGAAAGCGUGGGGAGCAAACAGGAUUAGAUACCCUGGUAGUCC